rnacentral:lncRNA from 1 species
GUUCAUUAGUCUUUUGGUUAAAUACAAGUAUAUAAUUAAAAACAUCAUUCUCUACCAGCUCCGACUAUUAAAGUCCAACUGCUGUUUCAUAUUCUUUAACAUGAUAUCAGAACAAAAGAUUCUGAAUUCGAGUGACACUGGACUCGUAACAUAAUUAAUUUAUCUUUUCUCUAAUUCAAGUUCAUGUCACGAUCCAGCAAAAAAGUCUCGAGUCCGACAACGUCAUAGGCCUAGAAGACGUGAGACAGAGUGUUAAAUAUAAAAGCAUCAUUCUCUACCUGCUUGAUUUUUUAGAGAAAAUAAUUAUUUCAUAUUAUUUAACACUCUUUAUCUGAUGGAGGAUGUUCUAAUCACAAAAAUUUUCUGU